rnacentral:rRNA from 1 species
GACGAACGCUGGCGGCGUGCUUAACACAUGCAAGUCGAACGCAGUGGCGAACGGGUGAGUAACGCGUAAUUAACCUGCCCUUCAGAGGGGAACAACAGUUGGAAACGACUGCUAAUACCGCAUACUGAAGGAGGGGAUUGCGUCUGAUUAGGUAGUUGGAGGGGUAACGGCCCACCAAGGCGAUGAUCAGUAGCCGGUCUGGGAAGAUGAACGGCCACAUUGGGACUGAGACACGGCCCAGACUCCUACGGGAGGCAGCAGGGGGGAAUCUUCCGGAAUGGACGAAAGUCUGAAGGAGCAACGCCGCGUGAGGGAUGACGGCCUUCGGGUUGUAAAGCUCUGUUAAUCGGGACGCGGUACCGGAAUAGAAAGCCACGGCUAACUACGUGCCAGCAGCCGCGGUAAUUC